rnacentral:misc_RNA from 1 species
GAUGAAGAACGUAGCGAAAUGCGAUAGGUAAUGUGAAUUGCAGAAUUCAGUGAAUCAUCGAGUCUUUGAACGCACAUUGCGCCCCCUGGUAUUCCGGGGGGCAUGCCUGUCCGAGCGUCAUUGCUGCCCUCAAGCCCGGCUUGUGUGUUGGGCCCCGUCCUCCGAUUCCGGGGGACGGGCCCGAAAGGCAGCGGCGGCACCGCGUCCGGUCCUCGAGCGUAUGGGGCUUUGUCACCCGCUCCGUAGGCCCGGCCGGCGCUUGCCGAUCAACCCAAAUUUUUAUCCAGGUUGACCUCGGAUCAGGUAGGGAUACCCGCUGAACUUAAGCAUAUCAAUAAGCGGAGGA